UGAACGCUGGCGGCAUGCUUUACACAUGCAAAUCGGACGGCAGCACAGAGAAGCUUGCUUCUUGGGUGGCGAGUGGCGAACGGGUGAGUAAUAUAUCGGAACGUACCGAGUAAUGGGGGAUAACUAAUCGAAAGAUUAGCUAAUACCGCAUAUUCUCUGAGGAGGAAAGCAGGGGACCUUCGGGCCUUGCGUUAUUCGAGCGGCCGAUAUCUGAUUAGCUAGUUGGUGGGGUAAAGGCCUACCAAGGCGACGAUCAGUAGCGGGUCUGAGAGGAUGAUCCGCCACACUGGGACUGAGACACGGCCCAGACUCCUACGGGAGGCAGCAGUGGGGAAUUUUGGACAAUGGGCGCAAGCCUGAUCCAGCCAUGCCGCGUGUCUGAAGAAGGCCUUCGGGUUGUAAAGGACUUUUGUCAGGGAAGAAAAGGCUGUUGCUAAUAUCAAUAGCUGAUGACGGUACCUGAAGAAUAAGCACCGGCUAACUACGUG
rnacentral:rRNA from 1 species